AAAUGCCUAUUUCUGGUGUUUUUUUCUUGUACCUUUGCUUAAGUGCAUUGCUAGAUUUUAGCUUUGAUUGUUGGACUGGGGUGUCCAGAUGAAGGGGAGGGGAGGAUUAUAGGAAUGGGACAGAAAAAAAUCAAAUAGUUUUCUUUGACAAAACUUCAAAUACUAUGGGACUAGACUGAGGAAAUGUUUUUAAUAAGUUUAUUUCUUGAAAUUGGAUCUUAAUUACUCUUUGGAAGAUAAUCUUUCCGAAAACAUUGUCAGUUCCUGAAUUUUAACAUAAAUUAACUAGUUAAUAGGAAUAAUAGGAGCUGGUCAUCCAUCUUUUUUUUUUUUUUUUUUUUCUGAACGGUAAGGAAUUUACCUUAAUUUACUUGUAUCAAUAUGCUUCUUGGGCAAAUAGUGACCCAUGAGUCUAGCUAAGCAAAAGGACAAUUGUACAUCUGCCCUCCUACAUUAUUUAUGGCAUUGUCCUCUUUUCUUUUUUAGGGGGGAGGGAGGUGGGGGAAGCUAGUAUGUAUGAGAAAAGAAUUCAGUUUCCAUACAUACGUACAUUUGUUUUCUAUUGCAGCAAUAACAAGUUGCCAAAAACUUAGUAGUUUAAAACAACACAAAUUUAUCAUCUCACACUUACGUAAAUCAGAAGACCCGGUGGGUUAGCCCAGUUCCUCUGCUGUAGUCUUCACAAGCCCAAGAUCAAGGUGUUAGGCUCUGGGGGCAAAUCUGCUUCCAAGCUCAUUCAGAUUGUUAACAGAAUUCAGUUGCUUAUAUUUGUAGGUCUGAGGUCCCAUUCCUUGCUGCUGUCAGCUGGGAUCCUCUCUCAGUUGCUUCAAGUGUCAUCCAGUCCUCCAUCUUCAGACCGGCAAUGGUGUGUGGAAUCCUUAUGCUUCAAAUAUCUCUGACUUCACUUUCCUCCACAUCUGUCCUACCUCCAGCCACAGAAAGUUUUCUGUUUUUAAGAGGCCAGGUAAUUAAGUGAGACCCACCCAGAUAUUCCAGGAUAAUUUCCUGAUAUUGAGGUCCAUAAUUUCAAUGACAUCUGCAAAGUCUCUUUGCUAUGUAACAUGUUCACAGGUUCUGGGAACAUUUUGGGGAGUCAUUCUGCUACAGUGCCAUCUAUGAAAGGUGUUUUAUAAACCCAAAAAUGUUUAGUUAAAAAUUGUUUCAUCAUAGCAGUCACUCGACUUGGCAUAGAAUAAAUAUUGACCUAGUAACUUAAAAUGGAAAAUUUGAAGUAUUUGAAAAAUACAACUCAGAUGCCAGUAGGGUCCAAGCGUAUUGGUGACUAAAACCCCCCUUCAGACUUGCAGUGGCAUACCGUUCCACUGUAUAUCAGUUCCAUGGCCACAUUUAUAAUGGUGGAUAAAGUUAACAAAACGUUUGAAACUUGUAAAUCAGAUACUUUAAAAAUACCAGAGAGCCUACUAUUUAGAUGAAUUCUUUGUUUUAUGGAUUUUUCUUUUUUUGGUUUUUUUUUGUUGUUGUUGUUGUUGUUUUUGUUUUUGUUUUGAGACAGAGGUCGCCCAGGUUGGAGUGCAGCAGCGCCAUCUCUGCUCACUGCAACCUCCGCCUCCUGGGUUCAAGCAAUUUUCCUGCCUCAGCCUCCAGAGUAGCUAGGACUACAGGCGUGCGCCACCAUGCCCAGCUAGUUUUUUUGUAUUUUUAGUAGAGGCAGGGUUUCACCAUGUUGGCCACACUGGUCUCAGUCUCCUGACCUCAUGAUCCACCUGCCUCGGCCGCCCAAAGUGCUGGGAUUACAGGCGUGAGCCACCACACCCGGUCAGAUUUUUCUUAAGAUGGGAUGUACUUAACUUUCCGUUUGUUGACUGUCAAAUUCUCUACAAGAUUAUUUGAAUUCCAAAGCAACAUUAUUGUGUAAAUGUCAGCCAGUUGGUUAAUAAAAUGUAAAGUGAGAAACUGCCAAAAUAAUCUUAAACUGUAAGAAAGGCAAAAAUAAUAAUAAAAGGACAAUGGGAUGCAUGAAAAUAAUUUUGUUUUAGUUUAUCUGGAAUGUAUUUUGGUAUAGAUGUGACAGUAACUUAAAAACAAUAAAUUAAAAAUCAACUAAUUGGCCCCACAUUAUUUGAAAUAAGUCUUUCCUCUCUAAAUUGUGAUGUCAUCCUUAAUGAAAUGAUACAGUAUUUGUUUUGUGACUGGCUUAUUUCACUUAGCAUAGUCCUCAGGGUUUAUCUAUGUUGCAGCAUGUAUCAGAAUUUCCUUCCUUUUUAAGGCUGAGUAAUAUUCCACUGUGUAUGUAUAUGCCACAGAAAUCAAGCUAAUUUUCUUUUUUAUUAUUAUUAUACUUUAAGUUCUAGGGUACAUGUGCACAAUGUGCAGGUUUGUUACAUAUGUAUACAUGUGCCGUGUUGGUGUGCUGCACCCACUAACUCAUCAUUCACAUUAGGUAUAUCUCCUAAUGCUAUCCC
rnacentral:lncRNA from 1 species